GUGCUCACUUCAUCAGCACAUAUACUAAAAUUGGAAUGAUUCAGAGAAGAUUAGCAUGGCCCCUGUGCAAGGAUGACAUGUAAAUCCAUGAAGUGUUCCAUAUUAAA
rnacentral:snRNA from 1 species